AGUGAACGCUGGCGGUAGGCCUAACACAUGCAAGUCGAACGGCAGCACAGUAAGAGCUUGCUCUUACGGGUGGCGAGUGGCGGACGGGUGAGGAAUACAUCGGAAUCUACUUUUUCGUGGGGGAUAACGUAGGGAAACUUACGCUAAUACCGCAUACGACCUACGGGUGAAAGCAGGGGAUCUUCGGACCUUGCGCGAUUGAAUGAGCCGAUGUCGGAUUAGCUAGUUGGCGGGGUAAAGGCCCACCAAGGCGACGAUCCGUAGCUGGUCUGAGAGGAUGAUCAGCCACACUGGAACUGAGACACGGUCCAGACUCCUACGGGAGGCAGCAGUGGGGAAUAUUGGACAAUGGGCGCAAGCCUGAUCCAGCCAUACCGCGUGGGUGAAGAAGGCCUUCGGGUUGUAAAGCCCUUUUGUUGGGAAAGAAAAGCAGCAGGUUAAUACCCCGCUGUUAUGACGGCACCCAAAGAAUAAGCACCGGCUAACUUCGUG
rnacentral:rRNA from 1 species